rnacentral:rRNA from 1 species
AACUUUUGACAACGGAUCUCUUGGCUCUCGCAACGAUGAAGAACGCAGCGAAAUGCGAUACGUAAUGUGAAUUGCAGAAUUCCGUGAAUCAUCAAAUCUUUGAACGCACAUUGCACUCUUUUAGAGUAUGCCUGUUUGAGAAUCUAUU